UAUAACUCAGCCUGUGAUAUACCCAGCUACAGAUCUAAAACCUUACACCCACUACAUUGUUAAAGUAGCAGCAGUGAAUGGAAAUGGAGAAGGACGCUUUAGUAAUGCAACAGUGAAGACUGAUGAAGAAAUUCCAAAAAAACCUGGACAGAUAACUGCAACAAAUAUAGAGGCCAAAAGUUUAAAAUUGUCCUGGAGUGUAGCAGAUCCCUCACCUGGCAACACAACAUACACUGUGCAUGUGUAUGAAGGAACUGAUGAUAUUGGAACCAACUUUAAUCUGAGAGAACCAAAACUGAAGACAUACGGAUUUCACCAGAAGUCUGUGUCCAUAGACGAGUUAGAGGAAUACUGGCCGUACAAAUUCAAAGUUGAUGCUGCUACAAUAAAAGGGAAUACAACAUCAGAUUUAUCAAAUAUUGUCAGAACAAAACAAGCAGCACCAGGACAAGUGGAAAACCUUACUGUCAAUACAAAACCUGGAAAUUACAGAAUAGCCUAUGCAUAUUGGAACAUUCCAUUACCG